GACGAACGCUGGCGGCGUGCUUAACACAUGCAAGUCGAACGGACCUUCGGGUUAGUGGCGAACGGGUGAGUAACACGUGGGUGAUCUGCCCUGCACUUUGGGAUAAGCCUGGGAAACUGGGUCUAAUACCGAAUAGGACCACGGCAUUCAUGUGCUGUGGUGGAAAGCUUUUGCGGUGUGGGAUGGGCCCGCGGCCUAUCAGCUUGUUGGGGGGGUAAUGGCCUACCAAGGCGACGACGGGUAGCCGGCCUGGGAGGGUGACCGGCCACACCGGGACUGAGAUACGGCCCAGACUCCUACGGGAGGCAGCAGUGGGGAAUAUUGCACAAUGGGCGCAAGCCUGAUGCAGCGACGCCGCGUGAGGGAUGACGGCCUUCGGGUUGUAAACCUCUUUCGCCAGGGACGAAGCGCAAGUGACGGUACCUGGAGAAGAAGGACCGGCCAACUACGUGCCAGCCGCCGCAGUAAGAC
rnacentral:rRNA from 1 species